rnacentral:rRNA from 1 species
GACAGAGGGUGCAACCGUUGCUCGGAAUUACUGGGCGUAAAGCGCACGUAGGCGGCUUCUAAGUCGGGGGUGAAAUCCUGGAGCUCAACUCCAGAACUGCCUUCGAUACUGGAAAGCUCGAGUCCGGGAGAGGUGAGUGGAACUGCGAGUGUAGAGGUGAAAUUCGUAGAUAUUCGCAAGAACACCAGUGGCGAAGGCGGCUCACUGGCCCGGUACUGACGCUGAGGUGCGAAAGCGUGGGGAGCAAACAGG